ACGUAGUUUGAUCAGUGGCUCGAGGACGACGCUGGCGGCGCGCCUAACACAUGCAAGUCGAACGAAGAAUAGCUUCGGUUAUUCUUAGCGGCGGACGGGUGAGUAACGCGUGAGCAACCUUUCUCUCAGCGGGGAAUAACACAGGGAAACUUGUACUAAUACCGCAUAAGACCACAGAUGGGCAUCCAUCAGGGGUCAAAGAUUUAUCACUGAGAGGUGGGCUCGCGUCUGAUUAGAUAGUUGGUGGGGUAACGGCCUACCAAGUCGACGAUCAGUAGCCGACCUGAGAGGGUGAUCGGCCACAUUGGGACUGAGACACGGCCCAAACUCCUACGGGAGGCAGCAGUGGGGAAUAUUGGGCAAUGGGGGAAACCCUGACCCAGCAACGCCGCGUGGAGGAAGAAGGUUUUCGGAUCGUAAACUCCUGUCCUCAGGGAAGAGUGGAAGACGGUACCUGAGGAGGAAGCCCCGGCUAACUACGUG
rnacentral:rRNA from 1 species